rnacentral:rRNA from 1 species
GACGAACGCUGGCGGCGUGCCUAACACAUGCAAGUCGAGCGAACAGACCCUGCUUUUGCUCCUCGCACGUGAGCCGCGCACGUGUGAGUAACACGUGUAUCACCUCCUUAUCUUUCUGGUAUCUUCUCGGGACUCCGGCUCUUAUACCGGAUAAUCUCUUGCUCCGUAUUGUUCAUUAGUAAAUUUCGGCUUUUCUGUCUCUACUCGCUGCUUCUCAGCCGCAUUAGCUAGUUGUUACGGUAACGGCUUACCACGGCUACGAUGCGUGGCCGACCUGAGAGAGUGAUCGGCCACACUGGAGCUGAGCCACGGUCCAGACGCCUACGGGAGGCAGCAGUAGGGAAUCUUCCGCAAUGGGCGAGAGCCUGACGGAGCAACGCCGCGUGAGUGAUGAAGGUCUUCGGAUCGGAAAACUCUGUUAUUAGGGGAGAACAAAUGUGUAAGUAACUAUGCACGUCUUGACGGUACCUGGUCAGAAAGCCACGGCUAACUACGUG